CCAUAGAGAUCAUUUUAAAAUAAAGGUGAAGCGAACAUGCGCAGUAACUAACCCCAACUUAAUAAAUUGCAUAAAUAUCCAAAAAUCUUUUUAAAACGCAAAAUUAAAGGGUACAUGCAUAUAAUCUACAUGUAAAAUAUUUAAAAUGUAUUCCUUUUUUUAAGGACUCUGUGAAGUUGAUGCCUUAAAAAAAGAGCCUGCAAUGUAAAUAUUAAGGCUAUUUAACGGGUUCGACCUUAAGCAUAGCUAUAUUUAUUUGAUAAUUUAUUAUUCACACAUUAUUCGCCUUGUUCGCACCCCAAAGGUUUGCGAACGAUCGGUGGCCACCAUAUGUUUUAUCGACUUUUGCUCCACCGCUCCCAAAGCUUGUUAGUAAUAAAAUAGUCAUUUACUUUGUUGAAAUCGCUUGUAGUUCCGCCUUUUGGUUUAGAUUUGAGACUAAUUAAAAAUGGCUGAAAUAAGCGCUUCAUAUGCCGCCGUCACGACUAUUAGUUACCACCAUUUUUAAAACAAAAUAUGUUUUGCCGUGAACAAGCUAUUGACGUGUUCCUUCCCAUUGUGAAUAAAAUGGAAAAAUAACGCGAGAGAGAGAAGGAGAGAGUCGCCGCUACCGCAGGAGGAGGUUCUCUGCGUAGCAGCAGCCUGGAGUGUUCAACACAGAAACGACUGAUUUUUAUAAUUCAGCUCGAUUAUUGCUGUGAACGCUGCUUUCACUCGGUAUAGCUUUAGGUUGGAGAUAUUCUAUUUGUAGAAAUAUAACAUUCGGGAUGGUUGGCGUUGUCUGCGGCAGCUGCCUCGACGGCAGAUUUCCGCCGCAGCGCAGCGCAGUGCGGGGCAGUCCAGUGCUGUGGGUGGUUGUGGAAAACUGAGUACAAUGUGGAGAACACGCAGACACCCCUGCAGACAAUAAACAAAGAGCCGCUCGCCAUGUGCGCCGCAGCUGCUGCACGAGCACGCUCACAGCCCAACCGAGCUGCAGUGAGCAGUCAGGGCCGCCAGGGGGCAGAGCGACCACUGAGGAUGCCUUCUUUCAGUCAGGUGGAGGAGUGUGAAGUGAAUCUUCCGGCUGGUAGCCCUCUAACCGCUGCAACAGGAUCUCAGAGUAGCCUGAAGAUGAUCCCACCUUACAGAGAAUGACGGCCAUGGCGAGGCUUUCAUUGUGAGCAGCCACGUAUCCCAGCAUCAUGAUCCCCGGGAGCCGCAGCUGUCCAUGGCUCUCUCCCAGGGUCGCAACGUUCUUCCUGACGUAAUCAUCCGGAUCUUUGAGGGAGACGAAGGCGGCGGGGAAGACCUCGGCCUCGAUCACCAUCUCGGCC